CAACAUCCCACAGUAUGCUGGGCUAGAUCCUGGCACCAUGAUGCAGGUUAGCCACCCCUGGUCUAGAUCUACUGUAUUAGUUCCCCGUAAUGUAGUAGGCAAUGACUCUUUACUCAGAAUCUUUUCAUACAGAGGAAAAAGUGUUUUAAGAAAUCUUCUUUUAUAUUUCAUCUAAAAGGACCUGCUAAUAGAUUAUAUCCUGCAAUAACUAUAUUCUAUAUCCCAACAUUUUCAGACUUUUUAAAGUUCCAGCUCAACCAUGAGCAUAGUCAGAGGUGUAACGAUGAAAGCAAGAAAGGGCCUUUCCUUUGCCUCAUGAAACAGACAGUAACUCUCAUUCCAGGUCCGUUCCUAAGAACUACCAGCACAUCCUGGCUUUGCUGCUUGCUGUCAAAGAGAUCAAUGAGAAUCCCCAAAUCCUACCCAACAUCUCUUUGGGCUUCCACAUCCUCAACAGCUACUAUGUGGCAAGGACGACAUACAAAGCCAGCCUGAGCCUCCUUUCCACACAACACAGGUUUGUUCCCAACUACAAGUGUGAUAUUCAGAGUAAACUGAUAGCUGUCAUUGGCGGACUUGCUACUGAAACCUCUGCCAACAUGGCUAGCAUUUUUGCCACCUACAAGAUCCCACAGGUGAGACAUAUUCAUUGAUUUAUGGGCAUUUUCCAACAAUGGCUCAUAUUUUUGCAUUCUUUUAAUCCAUACAACACACCCUCCUUCCUUUCAGCUCACAUAUGGAUCAUUUACCCCAGUGCAGGAUGACAAAACAUUGUUUUCUUCCUUAUAUCAGAUGGUCCCAAAGGAAGCCCACCAGUACAUUGGGGUAGUCAGGCUCCUUCACCAUUUCAAAUGGACAUGGAUUGGGCUCUUUGCUGUGGAUGAUGACAAUGGGGACAGGUUUUUGCACACAGUGGUUCCAUUGCUUGAUCAGAAUGGCAUCUGCUGUGCCUUCAUACUACGAACAGCAAAGAGGACAUUUAUGGAAGAGCUGAUGAACAUUAUAUUUGCACAACUGGGAAAAUACUCAAUUCUUCAAGACAGAAAAGUCAGUGCAUGUUUUGUAUAUGGAGAACCUCCAGCCAUGGGUGUUUUGAGAAUGUUUUUCUUUUUUGCAGUAAUAAAAUCAUUGCCACCCGUGGGUAAAGUCUGGAUUGUUACAUCCCAGUGGGAUUUCUGUGCCUUCUCCCUUCAAAAGCUUUGGGAAAUGGAAACCUUCCAUGGUGCUCUAUCCAUCACGGUUCGCUCAAGGGAGCCACUUGGAUUGCAAAGUCUUCUUGAGAUCAUUGAACCUUCUUGGGCAAAAGGAGAUGGUUUCAUUCAGAAUUUCUGGGAGCAGUCUUUCAGCUGCUCAUUAAAAAAAUCUGAUGGGAAUGUGGAGGGAAAGAAAGCCUGCACUUGCCGGGAGAAGUUGGAGAGUCUUCCUAGUACUCUUUUUGAAAUGGGCAUGACUGGCCACAGCUACAAUGUCUACAAUGCUGCUUAUGCUGUGGCACAUGCUUUGCAUGUCCUACGUGAAUCCAGUCCCAAGCCUAGUCGUUUAAUGGAAGGAGGGAGGCUGACAUUUCAAAGUUUGCAGCCAUGGCAGGUAAUUGCACAUUGAAAGCAAAAGUCUAUUUUUCAAAACUUUCAAGCAUGCCAUAAAAUAUAUUUGAGUAUAUCCUUAAACUUUCUUGAUCUUGCCUAAUCAUUAGGAAACCUUUAACUUGAAUCUGAGUUUUCUUAUUUCCUCCUUCUUCCAAAUCUACUUUCCUUUUGCAUCAUAUCUCUUUUACACUGUAAGCCUAAAGACCACAGCUGUCUUUUGGUAAGCUGCUGAAAAAGCCAUUUUUGGAAGAACAUUGGGAUAUUAUAUUUCUUAAGAAAUAAUUGUUGAAACUAAGCAACCAACAUCGUAGUAGCACCUUCUUUCAGCAAGGUGGCACACCUUGCCACUCUAUUAACAUUUAAAGUUGCACAAGGACUUUAGAAACACCCUGUAUUUUGCCAUCAGGAUGGCAAAAUAUAAAUCCUGGACUGUUGUAGACUGAAGUUCCUUGUGGCUUGACUCUGGAUAGCUUCGCGUGUCUUUGUUCCAGAGCCUGGCAGCUUCUAUAUCUUCUCCUCUGAAAAUCCAAGAGGAGUGGAUACAGGCAGUGGAGAUGGAUGGGGAAUACAUAUCUGUGAGCAAAGCAUGGUCUUCUGGGUCCCUCACAGAGUGGCACCAAACAUUUUGGGAUUUCUGAAUAUCCUGAGGGUGCAGAGACAAAAAACAGAAAAAGUUUAUUGACCUCAAAACAUGCUCAGGGGUUUUGUGAUGCACCCAGAUACCAUUGUGGGAAGCAGGACACUGGUCUAAAUGGACAGGACAGUUAAAAUAUCUCUCCUUAGAAUGGCAGUACUAAGAAACAAUAUACCUGUUAAUAUCAAGUCACAGUGAGCCAUCAAAUAUAACUCUGUUGCUAAAUGUGACGUAAUAUGAAAGCAUUGUUUUAUGCUGGGAUUUCAUCUCUUAACUGUCUUCAGAUAAUGUCUUGCAAAAACAACAACAACACCUCAAUGAUGCUUUAUUUUAUUUACAGUGGUGCCUCGCAAGACGAAAUUAAUUCGUUCCGCAAGUCUCUUCGUCUUGCGAGUUUUUCGUCUUGCGAUGCACGGUUUCCCAUAGGAAUGCAUUGAAAAUCAAUUAAUGCGUUCCUAGGGAACCGCCUUCAGACCAGGUCCGGGGACAGUCUGUCCCGGACCUCUUCUGAAGGCUGGGGAGGCAAGGGCUUUUCUUCCCACCCCCAGCAUUUUAAAAACCCGGGACAGCGGAGGACUUCUCCGCUGUCCGGGCGAUCUUAAAAUGCUGGCGGGCGGCAUUUAAAAUCACCCCGGGACAGCGGAGGACUUCUCCGCUGUCCGGGGCAAUUUAAAGCCCCUGGGAAGGCAGGCAGGGGGACAAAGACUUUGCCCCCGCCAGCCUUCAGAAGAGGUCCUGGACCUCUUCUGAAGGCGGGCGGGGCGAAAGUCUUGCUCCCCGCCUUCAAAAGCCCUCCGGGACAGGCAGGCAGGGGGAGCAAAGACUUUCGCCCCCGCCCGCCUUCAGAAGGUCUUCCCUCCCCCCGCCCGGCCGGACCGUUCGGCCGGGCAGCGGCAGGUCCUCCCCCGCCCGGCCGGGCACGUUCCGAGCCGGGCGGCGGCAGGUGUUCCCUCCCCCCGCCCGGCCCGGAGGAGCCUUCCGAAGCCCGGCGGCGGCGGGAGGAGGUGUCCCCGCCCCGCCGCCAGGCUUCGGAGGAGGUCCGAGGACAGUGGGGAAGACGCGCUGCGCUUCCCCGCUGUCCCUGAGAUUUCCCUAUGGGCUGUCGUCUUGCGAAGCAAGCCCAUAGGGAAAUUCGUUUUGCGAAGCGCCUCCAAAACGGAAAACCCUUUCGUCUAGCGGGUUUUCCGUCUUGCGAGGCGUUCGUCUUGCGGGGUACCACUGUAUUUUUAAGACAACUUCACAGGGCCAUUUCUCCUCAAAUUACUGCGUCAGUUUCACAGGUCUUUGGCUGAAUCACUGCUUCUUCCUAGCCCUACAUUGUGGUUACUCACUAUGACUUUGGUAAUAUAGUACAAACUCAUGAUAAGCCAUGGAACAUGGGAAGGGGGUUUCCAUACUCCGUUCCUUACUGUUCCAGUGGGUGUGGAGGGGGUCGGGGUGAGAGAAGAAGCCUCAGAAGAUGGCUCCAGAUACAACCUUGGUCAAGAACAAUCCAGAGUUAGGGAAGCUAGACAUGUGCCCAUUUCAUUGCAGAGCUUUUAACCUUUUAUUCCCAUUGUGUUUCAUUUUCUCAUUCACUCAAGCUGCAUAACUAUAUAGGGAGCAUCUUGUUCAACAACAGCGUUGGCGAGAGUGUAGCUUUUGAUGAAAAUGGAGAACUGAUUGCAGAUUUUGAUGUUACAAACUGGGUCACGUUCCCCAACAGCUCUUUCGUUAGAGUAAAAGUUGGAAGAUUGGCUCCUCGGGAUCCUUCAGGCAAAGAGUUAACAAUUAAUGAUGAGCAAAUCGAGUGGCAUAGAAGUUUUAACCAGGUGAGAUGAAGCUGCAGAUGCUGGAAUGUAUGAAAUAACUGGUAAUCAUUCCAUUUUUAGCAUCUAGGUUUCUUAUUGCCUUCAGGUGCUGAAUUAUUCUGAGUAGCAUUGCGUUUUUAAACUACAGUUUCUUUCCUUCUUGGUAAACCAGCUGUGGGUAGUGAGUAGGUACUACAACCAGUGCUGUUUUUCUAGAAAAAGAGGCACUGGAACUCACCCUGAACUCACCCUGUUCUCUUUGAGGGGCAAUGGGGCCCACCUGGGCAGUGCCAGAACUGAGUUCUGGUGAGUUCUGGCUGAUCAAAAGACCAGACUAUAAGACAGCCUCAUGCAACAUAGAUCACAUUCCCAGAACAAAUUCAUCUAAGCAGUCCUGACCUCUCCAAAAAUUGAGUAUUUUCUUUUAUGGCCAAUAGCAAUGCUUAGGAGACCACUCCUGAACUGAGGCUGCUCAAAAUACCUGCUAUUUCAUGAACUGAUUAUUGAAAACAAAGCAAAAAGCAAAAACAAAUUCUGCUUUCUUUCUAAAUAAACUUUAAUAAAAAAGUUAGAAAUUUUGGUCAUGAAGAGAAAAAUUAAAAAUGCUCCUCUGCUCCUAGUGGGGGCAAAUUUGCCCCCCACCCACAAACACACCCCAUUUUUGUGAGAAGACACCAGCUGGUCUCUCCCCAGAGGUUGUGUGUGUGUCUGGGGAUCUUGGUGGGCAGCUUUAUCCUCUCGAUCUUCUCCUGAUCACUUCCAGUGCCCAUCCAACCUCUCUCUCCAGGGUGGGUUUUUCUUACUGGUCUCCCUUUAUGGGGGCAGAGUGGGAAUUGUCAAGAGAUGCUGCCAUCGGCCAUUGGGAUCCCUCCCUUUUGCCUGCUCUACACUGUAAGGGUCUUUGAUUGGCUUUUUGUGUAUUUACUUUUUUGUUUUGACAUUCAGGUAGGGAAUUUAAGUGCUUAAUCUAAAUUUAAAGUGAGAGCCAGUGUGGUGUAGUGGUUAAGAGCGGUAGUCUGGUAAUCUGGGGAACCGGGUUCGCGUCUCCGCUCCUCCACCUGCAGCUGCUGGGUGACCUUGGGCCAGUCACACUUCUCUGAAGUCUCUCAGCCCCACUCACCUCACAGAGUGUUUGUUGUGGGGGAGGAAGGGGAAGGAGAAUGUUAGCCGCUUUGAGACUCCUUAAAGGGAGUGAAAGGCGGGAUAUCAAAUCCAAACUCUUCUUCUUAAUCGAUAGGCUCCCUGAGGCAAUAUUUGUCUAGGGCUACUCUAGAGUCACCUUCCGCAGCCUUUGGGGGUCCCUUGGGGCUACUCCCUAGUCCUGGAUUGUGAAUGCUGAAUAGUGGGGGCUGUGUGUGUAUGUAGGGUUCACAGAUGUAAGACUCGCUUAGCAAGAAGGGAGAUGAUUCUUGUGUGGCAGAAUGUGUCUGUUACAUGCCUAGGGCUGGAAGGUGCUUCACUCCUUCAAAACACCUGCCUAUACUUAAAUAACUUGCUUAUCGGAUUGCCAGCCCUUAUAUCUAAUAUAGACAUUUCCACCAUGGUGGAGUCUCUUGAGUCUUCUUCCAGGUGUGUUGGCAAAUGAUGUUGAUCUCAGUUUUAUGUUUUUGGACAGGUGGUGCCCCUUUCUGUGUGCAAUGACUACUGCUAUCCUGGCUACAGCAGGAAAAAGAAGGAAGGGGAGAAAUUUUGUUGCUAUGAUUGUGCUCCAUGUCCUGAAGGGAUGAUCUCUCACCAGAUGGGUAAGAAAAUAAUGUAUAGUAACUGGGGAAAUGGGCAGAAAAAAAUAAUCUAGCCUUUUUUGGCGUCUGUUUUUAAAACACUCUGGUGUGCAGAAUGAGAAAACAAAGCUUUUUAUGCAGCAUGGGGAGUUAGAUGCCUUUAGCUGCCAGUUUCUGCAAACUGUUGUUGGUGACACAGCUAAACAGAAUGAUGGACUGCCUCUGAGAUGUUCCUUUUCUACAAUGGGGAAUUCUUAAUUCUCCCAAACACUCCAAUAGAUAGGGCUUUGAAAUCAGAAUUGUAACUGCUAAUCUAUAUGGGUAGGCAUUACAAAAAUUCCUUAAUGGACUGAGCAGGAGGGGUGAGCAUGCCAUCUUCAUGGAUCAGGCCAAAGUCACAUGAGACAAAUGCAUAUUUUAGUUUCAUCCACAACCUUUGGAAUCAGAACAUCAGGAACCAUGGCAGCUAUUAUGAAAUACAGAAGGGAACCCUUCAAAUUCUUCAUAAAUUCAUGAGGUAAUUAUAUUUAUAUAUUUAAAUUUUAGCCAUUUGGAGGAGCAAACAGGCUCUUUGCUGUUUUUCUUUUUAUUAUUUUAAUUAUUUAUUAUUAAUAUCCUCCCCCACCCCCCAGAUUGGGACUAAAGGCAGUUUACACAAAUGAAAACAAGACAGAUAAAAUGCAAAGAGCUAAAAUCAUAUUUUAAAAAUCAUUGCAAAUAAUUGAACUGCAAUUCUAUUAAAAUACAGAUCAUAAAAACAAAACAGCACAGCACUAUUAACAGCAAUUUGUUAAAGAAACAAAAACAAAAAAAUCCCUGUCAUUUCCCAAAGGCUUGUAAGAAUAAAAAAGUGUUCACCCCCCGGCAGAGGGUCUAGGAGGGAACCAUCAAAGUCUGGGAGCAACUAUUAAUAUAAAUUUUGCAGGACCAUCCCCUGCUGGGGAAGAAGUAGCUUUCGAAUAGAAACAACAACAAAACUUCCUCCUUUUUGUGAUUGUGUUACUGCUUCUAUUUCUGCUUAUCAGAAUUUUAUUCUUCCCAUAUCAGAUGGGGAGAAUCUUAGGCAAUGUCUUGUCAAAUCUGGUCUGGAACAUUCAUGGAUGUAUUCUGAAUACUUUAGUCUCAGUCCUACAUGUGACCAUUUUCCUGUGUUCAAAUUCAGUUAAUAAACAAGUCUAAGUCUUAAAAUGUUUUAAUAGCGCUUUCUUCUUUUCAGACAUGGCUGCCUGUGUCAAAUGUCCGGAAGAGGAGUACCCAAAUAAUGACCAAAAUCAGUGCAUUCCCAAGGUGUCCAGCUACCUCUCCUAUAAAGAACCUCUAGGAAUCACUCUGGCCAUCUUGGUUGUUUCUUUCUCUUUGAUUACAACCUCAGUACUUGGGAUUUUCAUGAAGCACAGGGACACUCCCGUAGUCAAAGCCAACAACCGGACCCUCACCUAC